ACAUUUAUUGAGACACUCAAACGAGCGUACAGCAAUAUUGGAUGUGAUGGUGCAGACCUACGGGCGACAGUCUGUGGAUGAGACCAGAGAGAUUUUAAAGAAGUUGCACAGAUUUGAUCUCAUGCAGAUGUUUUCAGAGACUAGCUCAGAACCCAAAGUGGAUGAGCAUCAACCUCCAGUCUUUGAAAAAACGGUAAAGGAAGAUGUGGAACAUGUUCUUU